UCCUAACUAAUUUAAUCAAUUGUUGUUUGGUGAAAUCUAAAAAUCUUUGCAAUCAAGAACCAAUUUAGGAUUUUUAAAACAAACUGACAAAUGCCAAGGCAAAGAACGAAAAACGACAAAAAGACAAAAGUAAAAUAACACAAACUACGAACUCCAAGGAAAAUUCAAAACGGAAAGUCCCUUAUCAAAUGGCAAAAUUAAAAGCUCAAACAUAUCAAAAGAAUGUAAAACAACUGUCAUAUUCCUGACUUGGUACAUGCAUUUUCAUAUGUAGAAUACAAACAACAGUUAACAAAACUGAAGACUGAGCAAUACGAACCCCACCAGAAUCGCUUUCGAGACGCGACGGCCAUACUUCCAUGACGGCCAUAGGAUGUGUCGGCCAUACCGUCACAUCGUCCAUGGGACAUAUCGGCCACACAUUGUGAGACGUAUCGUCCACACUUUAAAAUUUUUUUGAGGUUAUAACAUAAAAUAUAAUAAUAAAAUAAGUAUUUAUUCAUAAUAAUAACAUUAAUAUGAUUUUGUAGUAUUUUUUUUCUGUUCAAGAGAUCUUAUUUAUUCUUGUAAGAGUUAUCUUUGCUUGAUCAUCAUCACUCGUGUUUACAACUUGUUGGGGCCAUAUUAUUUUAGAGUCAUUCCAUUUGCUGAACAUCUUUCCAAGACGGAGACUACUGUAGAAUUUUCCAAUAACAUAACAAAUUACCCGUAAUAUCUGACAGGAAUGUGCACCCUAAUAACAUGAUAAAAGAUGGCCAGUUUCAUUUUUAUCAUACUGAAUGUUCUUUUUGCUUAAGUUUGUUCAUUGUGUUGAAUACUAUUUGUUGACAAUUUAAAUGUCCCCAUUUUUGUGCAUUUGUUGAUGGAGAAUUGUAUUAUGGACAAUCAUACCAAUAUACUCUAGUACAAGAAACAAAAAGAUAAUAUUUUUGUUUAAUAUAUUUUAUUUAUUCAUUCAGUCAUACAGAUAAACAAAUAUACAACAAACAUAUAAAGCAUACAUCAUACAUCAUACAUACACAAAACACUCAUAUAUAUUAUUCUUUUCGUUCAGGCAUGUAGAAAAUCAAACACAUCGAAAUGUAAGAACAUACAUAUAUUAUAAUAACCAUCUACAAGUGUCAAAAUAAUUCAUAUAUAACAUCUAUAAAAAAAAAAAAAAAACAUGGACGAUACGUCUUUACAAAGUAUGGCCGUUUUUGUCCUAUGGCCGUUUCAUCUUUUCGGGGUAUGGCCGUUUCAUCCUAUGGACGUCAUGGCAGUAUGGCCGUCACGUCCUGCACGUAGGUGAUCUCAGGUGCUCUGGAAGGGUAAGCAGCUUCUCCACAUGUCUCGCCUGUCAUGUCAUGUUGCUUAUAUAAGUACAGACCAGAUGAUUAGUUCCAAUCAGUUGCUCACAACUCACAUUCUAGAAAAAGGACAGGAUUGGUUGCGACAAUUUGAACCCAUUGGUCAUUAUCUGUGAAACAGAUAUUCUAUAAUGGUCACUUGCAUUGGAACCCUUGGAUUAAAAGCUUCCUUAGAGCUGUUCCCUUCCAUCAAGGAGAUCAUGAUAGGAAAUGCAAGCUGUGGAAUAACGUAUCAUCUAGGGGUAUCCAUGCAUGACACAAAAUCAGUACAUGCACAACAAGAAACAAAAACAAAUAUGCCUGGCAGUCAUUGGGACAAAUGUCAUAAAUGUUUAUAAAAUCAAAAUGUACAAAAAAGUUACGUCUUACUAUAUAAUCUUUUUUCAAAGUACAUUUGUUUUUUGCAAUAAAAUAUAGGAUAUAUUUACAGAACACUGCAAGUGAAAUGAUUUGUUUGUUUAUUUUCUUUUACGCAACCACAAGGAGCUUGAGUUAUGUAUUAUCAGAGUUUGCAGAGUUCAGACCAACAAAAUUUCAUCCCCCACUUUAACAUUUUGUGCCGGUCCAAAUGUCCUGCUAGUCUAUUUUUUACUGUCAUAUAAUUACUUUGAUAUAUGUUGUUGCAACAUUAAGUAUUUGGCCAAAUUUCAAGACACUGGUUUACAGUUUCAGCCUUUUAUAUUGUCUCUGGAAACCAUUUUUUUUUUUAUCUUCUAUUUGUUUUCAAUAGUCAGGAUUAUACAUACCCCCAUACACUACCACCUGACAAGGGUAUCAAGGGGUUAGAUAUAGAAAAUAAUGCAGUAUACAAUAUGUAUCACUGACUAAUUGAUUUUUACAAUAAGAGUAUUUAAGGUUACAUAUAAAUUUUAUUUGAUUAAUCUCUCUCUCUCUAUCUGACUUUCUCUCAUACACCACUUAUACUUUUCACUCAUCUAUUUUGCUACAAUAUGUAUCAUGACUUACUUUUUAAAACAAUUAUUUUAAAGACAAACAUGACUUAGCUCAUGGUAUAUAACUAUUUUCUUUUAACUUAACUAAAAAAUAGAUAGUAUGAAACAAUACUUAGUUUAAUAUUACAUUUAAAGGAGACCAAAAUUUUUCACAAACUUGGAAUUUUUCUUUUUCUUUGCAAUAUGAUAUUCAAAGAAUUGGUAUUUCUUUUUUUGGAACAUGUUGAAGUAAUGGUGUGUGGCCCAAAAAGGUUUGCAGGGGGCUUUCAUGGAACUUCAGGAAAGGGACCUCAUUUGUUUGACAGAAAUGAAGCAGCAAAAAAAUAAAAAGCAAA